UGGCUCUAAAGUGAGUGCAAUAGGAUAAAUUCCUCCACUCGGGAGAAAGCAGAGGCAAGAAGUUGACUAAACGGUUGGUUUAUUUUCAUUAUUUUGGACAAGCAGCCUGACCCAUAACUGUCUGCCUUUCAAUUGCUGGAAUUGUGUGUGCUAAUUGUUUAUUUAUUUUUUCAAGUCAUUUUGAGAGUUUGGAAUGGCUAAGAUUAGUUUCUAGUGAACCACCCGUUUAUGUAUUUCUACCUGAGACAACUGGUUAAAAAAUAUGUACUGUACAUAGAACAUGGUAACCUGUUGAUUUACACAUUUUAAUUAACCAGAAUUUUUAAAAAGUGUAUUGCUUUAAUUCCCAAAGCUAAAAUAAAAGUUAGUUUUCUUAGUUUAUGAAUUAUAAUUGAAUCUUACUUUGAGUUUUACUAUGUACUUAGAGUUUUAUUGUGGAUCCUCUCAUUCAGAAUAAGUUAGAAUACAGUGUCUUACAUAAAAUUAGAGAAAGUUUUAUAACUAAUUAUAAGGUAGUUUAUAAGGGCUAAGGCUUUCUGAAAAGGGGAUAUCUGCAUUUCCAUUAUAAGGGCCCCAUUUUGUCUGAUUUCAUUAAAGAAGAAACGUACGAGUGCUAGUUGGAGGUGUCUUCUGUUUGAAAAUAUGAGCAAAUUGAUGCCUUAUUAUGUUAGAAUUCUAACCAUUAUAUUGACUUAUUUCACAAUUAUUUCAAUUCUGAAAUAAUAGACUUUACUUUUAGAAAUACUGAAAAUUUAAGUAUUUUCAAAGUGCACAUAAAUGCUUCUGAUUUAUACAUUUUAUUUCUCUUUUAAAAUCAGAUGUUUAAGAAUAAUGUUACUGACCAUAAGCCUAAUGUGGAAACCAUAAUUAAAAACAUUAACACAAUUUCUUUGGAGUUAAAGAAGAUGAAAGAGCUCUCCCAGUUGCUGCUUUGUGACCUUACUCUACAUUUUAAUCAUCCUGUGAAGACGGAUGACUUAAAGGAACCAGAAGGAAAAACCCGCCUCUUUGAAGAGUCUGCAAUAUCAGAUGUGUCCCUUGCCUCUAAUAAUUUUUCUAUCUGAUUUCUUUUUGUUUGUUGUGAAUUUAUAACUGUAUUUAUUGUGGAAUUAACAUGUAUCUGAGAGAAUUGAGUUUACUAAUAUAUUUAAUAUGAUAAACAAAAUAAAAAUAGGAUGAGUUGUAAAUAACCA
rnacentral:lncRNA from 1 species